GUGGAACAAUGUGGAAGAAUGUGUUUGCUUGGCUCAAAAUGACCUUGACACCUGAGUACGACCAGUCUCCAUGAAACAGCCAUGGAGCAGAGCUAUUCAGGCAUCUCCUGCGACCAGCUGUGAUGAAGGAGGCUGCACAGUGCGGGCCCUCGGAAGGAAGGCCGUGGACUGGGCACCUCGGCUGCUCGGAUGGAUGGGCAUUGGUGCUUAAAAUAGCCAAUCGGAUGGUAAUGAGAUGGGAAGCCGCACGUCACGGCAGAGCGGAACAGGCGCCGUGCUACGACAGCGCUUUCCGGCAAGAACAAAAGUCUCCAAACUGAUGGGCCCCACCGAGGAAAAGCAGGUUUCCUCGCCACGGCGAUUUGGAGAUUUUCAGCCGAUCGACUGACAGAGGGGGGCGACUGCUGCACAUGGAUGUUGGAUAGGUCAACCUGUUUGUAGAUGGUG